rnacentral:rRNA from 1 species
AGAACGAACGCUGGCGGCAGGCUUAACACAUGCAAGUCGAACGCGUGUAGCAAUACACGAGUGGCGCACGGGUGAGUAACGCGUGGAUAUCUGCCUUUUGGUUCGGAAUAACCCCGGGAAACUGGGGCUAAUACCGGAUGGUUCCUACGGGAUAAAGAUUUAUCGCCAAAAGAUGAGUCCGCGUCCGAUUAGCUAGUUGGUGGGGUAAUGGCCUACCAAGGCGACGAUCGGUAGCUGGUCUGAGAGGACGAUCAGCCACACUGGGACUGAGACACGGCCCAGACUCCUACGGGAGGCAGCAGUGGGGAAUAUUGACAAUGGGGCAACCCUGAUCCAGCCAUGCCGCGUGAGUGAUGAAGGCCUUCGGGUUGUAAAGCUCUUUUGGCGGGGACGAUGAUGACGGUACCCGCAGAAUAAGCCCCGGCUAACUUCGCGCCAGCAGCCGC